AUUGAACGCUGGCGGCAUGCUUUACACAUGCAAGUCGAACGGCAGCACGGGGGCAGCCCUGGUGGCGAGUGGCGAACGGGUGAGUAAUACAUCGGAACGUGCCCUGUCGUGGGGGAUAACGUAGCGAAAGGUACGCUAAUACCGCAUACGAUCUGAGGAUGAAAGCGGUGGACCUUCGGUCCUCGCGCGAUCGGCUCUGCCGAUGCCAGAUUAGGUAGUUGGUUUGGUAAAGGCCUACCAAGCCGACGAUCUGUAGCUGGUCUGAGAGGACGACCGGCCACACUGGGACUGAGACACGGCCCAGACUCCUACGGGAGGCAGCAGUGGGGAAUUUUGGACAAAGGGCGAAAGCCUGAUCCAGCCAUGCCGCGUGCAGGACGAAGGCCUUCGGGUUGUAAACUGCUUUUGUACGGAACGAAAAGGCUUUGGCUAAUAUCUGGGGCUCAUGACGGUACCGUAAGAAUAAGCACCGGCUAACUACGUG
rnacentral:rRNA from 1 species